UACGUAGGGGGCAAGCGUUGUCCGGAUUUAUUGGGCGUAAAGAGCGUGUAGGCGGCUUUACAGGUCCGUUGUGAAAACUCGAGGCUCAACCUCGAGACGCCGGUGGAAACCGUAAAGCUAGAGUCCGGAAGAGGAGAGUGGAAUUCCUGGUGUAGCGGUGAGAUGCGCAGAUAUCAGGAGGAACACCGGUGGCGAAGGCGGGUCUCUGGGCAGUAACUGACGCUGAGGAGCGAAAGCGUGGGGAGCGAACAGG
rnacentral:rRNA from 1 species